rnacentral:rRNA from 1 species
GACGAACGCUGGCGGCGUGCUUAACACAUGCAAGUCGAACGGAAAGGCCCCUUUGGGGGUCCUCGAGUGGCGAACGGGUGAGUAACACGUGAGUAACCUGCCCUUGACUUCGGGAUAACUUCAGGAAACUGGGGCUAAUACCGGAUAGGAAUCCUUGCUGCAUGGUGGGGGUUGGAAAGCUUCGGCGGUUUUGGAUGGACUCGCGGCUUAUCAGCUUGUUGGUGGGGUAGUGGCUUACCAAGGCUUUGACGGGUAGCCGGCCUGAGAGGGCGACCGGCCACAUUGGGACUGAGAUACGGCCCAGACGCCUACGGGAGGCAGCAGUGGGGAAUAUUGCACAAUGGGCGGAAGCCUGAUGCAGCAACGCCGCGUGCGGGAUGACGGCCUUCGGGUUGUAAACCGCUUUCAGCAGGGGCGAAGCUUGUGGUGACGGUACCUGCAGAAGAAGCACCGGCUAACUACGUG